rnacentral:piRNA from 1 species
UGAUAUCCUGGUGGCCCUCAGAAGU